GCCGCUUUGGCCGAGUGGUUAAGGCGAUGGUUUUAAGUUUCUUCAAGCUCAUAUCACCAUUAACGAAAGUUGCGUGAGUUCGACCCUCACAGGCGGCA
rnacentral:tRNA from 1 species